rnacentral:rRNA from 1 species
GACGAACGCUGGCGGCGUGCUUAACACAUGCAAGUCGAACGGAAAGGCCCCUUUGGGGGUACUCGAGUGGCGAACGGGUGUGUAACACGUGAGUAACCUGCCCUUGACUUCGGGAUAACUUCAGGAAACUGGGGCUAAUACCGGGUAGGAAUCCUUGCUGCAUGGUGGGGGGUGGAAAGUUUCGGCGGUCUUGGAUGGACACGCGGCUUAUCUGCUUGUUGGUGGGGUAGUGGCUUACCAAGGCUUUGACGGGUAGCCGGCCUGGGAGGGCGACCGGCCACAUUGGGACUGGGAUACGGACCAGACUCCUACGGGAGGCAGCAGUGGGGAAUAUUGCACAAUGGGCGGAAGCCUGAUGCAGCAACGCCGCGUGCGGGAUGACGGCCUUCGGGUUGUAAACCGCUUUCAGCAGGGGCGAAGCUUGUGGUGACGGUACCUGCAGAAGAAGCACCGGCUAACUACGUG